GAAUCUGCCUUCUGGUCGGGGACAACCACUGGAAACGGUGGCUAAUACCGGAUGAGCCGAAGGGUAAAAGAUUAAUUGCCAGAAGAGGAGCUCGCGUCUGAUUAGCUAGUUGGUGGGGUAAAAGCCUACCAAGGCAUCGAUCAGUAGCUGGUCUGAGAGGACGAUCAGCCACACUGGGACUGAGACACGGCCCAGACUCCUACGGGAGGCAGCAGUGGGGAAUUUUCCGCAAUGGGCGAAAGCCUGACGGAGCAAGACCGUGUGAGGGAGGAAGGCCCUUGGGUCGUAAACCUCUUUUGUCAGGGAAGAACACAAUGACGGUACCUGACGAAUCAGCCUCGGCUAACUCCGUGCCAGCAGCCGCGGUAAUACGGAGGAGGCAAGCGUUAUCCGGAAUUAUUGGGCGUAAAGCGUCCGCAGGUGGCUUAUCAAGUCUGCUGUCAAAGACCGGGGCUUAACUUCGGAAAGGCAGUGGAAACUGAACAGCUAGAGUAUGGUAGGGGCAGAGGGAAUUCCUGGUGUAGCGGUGAAAUGCGUAAAGAUCAGGAAGAACAUCGGUGGCGAAGGCGCUCUGCUGGACCAUAGCUGACACUCAAGGACCAAAGCUAAGGGAACG
rnacentral:rRNA from 1 species